AUUGAACGCUGGCGGCAUGCCUUACACAUGCAAGUCGAACGGCAGCACGGGUGCUUGCACCUGGUGGCGAGUGGCGAACGGGUGAGUAAUACAUCGGAACGUACCUUAUCGUGGGGGAUAACGCAGCGAAAGCUGUGCUAAUACCGCAUAAUCCCUAAGGGGGAAAGCGGGGGACCGUAAGGCCUCGCGCAAUUAGAGCGGCCGAUACCUGAUUAGCUAGUUGGUGAGGUAAAGGCGCACCAAGGCAACGAUCAGUAGCUGGUCUGAGAGGACGAUCAGCAAAACUGGGACUGAGACACGGCCCAGACUCCUACGGGAGGCAGCAGUGGGGAAUUUUAGACAAUGGGGGCAACCCUGAUCCAGCAAUGCCGCGUGAGUGAAGAAGGCCUUCGGGUUGUAAAGCUCUUUUGUCAGGGAAGAAACAGCAGCUCUAACACAGUUUGCGAAUGACGGUACCUGAAGAAUAAGCACCGGCUAACUACGUGCCAGCAGCCGCGGUAA
rnacentral:rRNA from 1 species